AGAGUUUGAUCCUGGCUCAGGAUGAACGCUGGCGGCGUGGAUAAGGCAUGCAAGUCGAGUGGGUUUAGACCCACGGCGAACGAGGUAGUAACACGUGGGUAUUUUCCCCGGAGUCGGGCAUAACUAGCCGAAAGGUUAGAUAAUUCUCGAUGGUCUCCGACCUUCGCAAGAAGCGUCGGAGUAAAGAUUUAUCGCUCCGGGAAAAGCCUGCGCAGUAUCAGCUAGUUGGUAGGGUAAUGGCCUACCAAGGCGAUGACGCUUAGGGGAGCUGGGAGGCUGACCCCCACCGAUGGGACUGAGACACGGCCCAUACACCUACGGGUGGCUGCAGUCGAGAAUCUUCCGCAAUGGACGAAAGUCUGACGGAGCGACGCCGCGUGAUGGAUGAAGUUCUUCGGAACGUAAACAUCUUUUAUUAGGGAAGAACUAAAGUGACGGUACCUGAUGAAUAAGGGGCUGCAAAACUCGUGCCAGCAGCAGCGGUAAAACGAGUGCCCCAAGCGUUAUCCGGAAUUACUGGGCAUAAAGGGUGCGUAGGUGGUCUUAUUAGUCGUAUGUUAAAACUCUCGGCCUAACCGGGAAGAUGCAAACGAGACGGUAAGACUAGAGAGAGUGAGAGGUUAGCAGAACUCAUGGUGUAGGGGUGAAAUCCGUUGAUAUCAAGGGGAAUACCGAAGGCGAAGGCAGCUAACUGGCGCUUAUUCUGACACUGAAGCACGAAAGCGUGGGUUUCGAACGGGAUUAGAUACCCCGGUAGUCCACGCCCUAAACGAUGAUCACUAGCUUUUUGGAGUAUCGACCCUCUGAGAGGCGUAGCAAAUGCGUUAAGUGAUCCGCCUGGGAAGUACGGCCGCAAGGCUAAAACUCAAAAGAAUAGACGGGGGCUCGCACAAGUGGUGGAUUAUGUGGUUUAAUUCGACGCUAAACGAAGAACCUCACCAAGGCUUGA
rnacentral:rRNA from 1 species